rnacentral:rRNA from 1 species
GCCUACCAUGGUGGUAACGGGUACGGGGUGUUAGGGCACGACACCGGAGAGGGAGCCUGAGAAACGGCUACCACAUCCAAGGAUGGCAGCAGGCGCGCAAAUUACCCAAUCCCGACACGGGGAGGUAGUGACAAUAAAUAACAAUACGGGGUUCUUUAGGAUUUCGUAAUUGGAAUGAGUACAAUUUAAAUCUCUUAACGAGGAACAAUUGGAGGGCAAGUCUGGUGCCAGCAGCCGCGGUAAUUCCAGCUCCAAUAGCGUAUAUUAAAGUUGUUGCAGUUAAAAAGCUCGUAGUUGAAUUUCGGGGUCAGUAGGUUGGUCAUGCCACUGGUAUGUACUGGUCUCACUGAUUCCUCCUUCCUGAUGAGCCGUAAUGCCAUUAAUUUGGUGUUGCGAGGAAUCUGGACUGUUACUUUGAAAAAAUUAGAGUGUUUAAAGCAGGCUAACGCUUGAAUACAUUAGCAUGGAAUAAUGAAAUAGGACGUUCGAUCUUAUUUUGUUGGUUUCUAAGAUUGACGUAAUGAUUAAUAGGGAUAGUUGGGGGCAUUAGUAUUCAAUUGUCAGAGGUGAAAUUCUUGGAUUUAUUGAAGACUAACUACUGCGAAAGCAUUUGCCAAGGAUGUUUUCAUUAAUCAAGAACGAAAGUUAGGGGAUCGAAGACGAUCAGAUACCGUCGUAGUCUUAACCAUAAACUAUGCCGACUAGGGAUCGGAUGAUGUUAAUUUUUUAAUGACUCAUUCGGCGCCUUACGGGAAACCA